UACUUUGUGCUACUGUCCAGUGAACGCACAGUGAGGACAGUACUGCAAAUGCCUGAUGAUUGCAUCAGCUAGAGCUCUACUUUAUCUUGGUGCAAUUUUUGGAAAA